CAGUGUACCCGCGGCAAGACGGAAAGACCCCGUGAACCUUUACUAUAGCUUGACACUGAACAUUGAGCCUUGAUGUGUAGGAUAGGUGGGAGGCUUUGAAGUGUGGACGCCAGUCUGCAUGGAGCCGACCUUGAAAUACCACCCUUUAAUGUUUGAUGUUCUAACGUUGACCCGUGAUCCGGGUUGCGGACAGUGUCUGGUGGGUAGUUUGACUGGGGCGGUCUCCUCCUAAAGAGUAACGGAGGAGCACGAAGG
rnacentral:rRNA from 1 species